AGAAGAGAUCAUACCAGCUCAUAUGCCCCAUAUCCCAUUAGAACUUCAAAGUUAAGCGAGUUUGGGCGAGAGUAGUACUAGGAUGGCUAACCUCUUGGGAAGUCCUCAUGUUGCAUCGU
rnacentral:rRNA from 1 species